rnacentral:rRNA from 1 species
UACGGGGGGAGCAAGCGUUUGUUCGGAUUUACUGGGCGUAAAGGGCGCGUAGGCGGUCGUGACAAGUCACUUGUGAAAUCUCCGGGCUUAACUCGGAACGGUCAAGUGAUACUGUCGGACUAGAGUACAGAAGGGGCAACUGGAAUUCUCGGUGUAGCGGUGAAAUGCGUAGAUAUCGAGAGGAACACCUGCGGCGAAGGCGGGUUGCUGGGCUGACACUGACGCUGGAGGCGCGAAAGCUAGGGGAGCGAACGGG